rnacentral:tRNA from 1 species
GCCCGCGUAGCUCAGUUGGUAGAGCACGUCCUUGGUAAGGACGAGGUCAUCGGUUCAAGCCCGAUCGCGGGCUCCA